UACGUAGGGGGCAAGCGUUGUCCGGAUUUAUUGGGCGUAAAGAGCGUGUAGGCGGCCAGGUAGGUCGGUUGUGAAAACUCGAGGCUCAACCUCGAGAUGUCGACCGAAACCAUCUGGCUAGAGUCCGGAAGAGGCGAGUGGAACUCCUGGUGUAGCGGUGGAAUGCGCAGAUAUCAGGAAGAACACCAACGGCGAAGGCAGCUCGCUGGGACGGAACUGACGCUGAGGCGCGAAAGCGUGGGGGAGCAAACAGG
rnacentral:rRNA from 1 species